CACUCUGGGUCGGUCGGGGUCUGGAAGAUGACGUCAUGCUGAUCUAUCGCCUUCUGUGAGCCAGGGUCAGGUCUAGGUGCUUUCACGUUAACCUCAGUUCAUGUUCACAGCAAAUCUAGGAGAGAGGAUGCACCUUUCCUGUGGGCACAGGAGCUCAGAGAGGGCAAGUCUUUGCUCCAGGUCACAUAGCCGGGAGGUGGUAGACCAUGAAGUUAAACCUAUCGAGGCGUUUUUGGUGGCGCUUUCACUCCACAGAAGCCCAUAGUGCCGGAGCCCAGGCUGGGGAUAUGGUCCAUUUCCUCAGCAAGUGAAUGCAUCCUCAGAAGCCCGCCACAUGUUUUUAAUAAUUGGUUGAGAAAGGCCUAGAAGGAGCAGGGGGCUGGAGCCUGAGACAAUGGGGCCAGCGGCUACCCUCAGCACUAUGGAUGGAUCUGUGUAGCACCCUCAAGGCAACAACAGGAUAUCCAAGAAGAGUCUCAGUGAGGGCCCAGCAUGGAUGGUGUAACGGAAACCAGAGGCCUUGAACAAGAUCAGUGACCCUUUGCCGGGAACACUUACUUGCAACGGGGAUAAAGGGGUUCACUGCACGACUCCCUGUGUCA